rnacentral:rRNA from 1 species
GAUGAACGCUGGCGGCGUGCCUAAUACAUGCAAGUCGAGCGAACAGAUGAGGAGCUUGCUCCUCUGACGUUAGCGGCGGACGGGUGAGUAACACGUGGAUAACCUACCUAUAAGACUGGGAUAACUUCGGGAAACCGGAGCUAAUACCGGAUAAUAUAUUGAACCGCAUGGUUCAAUAGUGAAAGACGGUUUUGCUGUCACUUAUAGAUGGAUCCGCGCCGCAUUAGCUAGUUGGUAAGGUAACAGCUUACCAAGGCGACGAUGCGUAGCCGACCUGAGAGGGUGAUCGGCCACACUGGAACUGAGACACGGUCCAGACUCCUACGGGAGGCAGCAGUAGGGAAUCUUCCGCAAUGGGCGAAAGCCUGACGGAGCAACGCCGCGUGAGUGAUGAAGGUCUUCGGAUCGUAAAACUCUGUUAUUAGGGAAGAACAAAUGUGUAAGUAACUAUGCACGUCUUGACGGUACCUAAUCAGAAAGCCACGGCUAACUACGUG